AAUAUUUAGGAGUUUAUCUUGGAGAUGCAAUUACACAGCAAAAGAAUUGGGAUGGGGUAGUAGAGAGGAUGGUAGGCAGACUGGCUAAAUGGAAGUGGAUUCAUUCACAAUUAUCUUUUAGGGGAAGAGUGUUAAUAGUGAACAAUUUGGUUUCUUCGAUACUCUGGCAUAAACUGUUUUGUGUGGAUCCACCCGUAGGGUUAUUAUCUCAGCUGCAAAGAAUUUUUGUGGAUUUUUUUUGGGAUCGAUUGCACUGGAUUCCACAAGGUGUAUUGUUUCUUCCUAAAGAUGAAGGUGGACAAGGUUUGGUCCACUUGCCAAGCAGAAUGGCAGCAUUUCGUUUACAAUUCAUUCAGAGAUUUUUAACAGGCCCAGAUGAUCUGGUGUGGAGGAACUUGACUAAGGUCAUCCUACAAAGAGUGGAGGGACUUGGACUUGAUGCUGGUCUCUUUUUCAUGGAUUACAGGAAGUUGAACUUGAAUAACAUAUCUCCUUUUUAUUGUGGACUUUUUAAAAUGUGGGGACUUUUUACUUUCAAAAGAAUGGACAAUUCAGACUCUUUGUUUUGGCUGUUGGAGGAGCCCCUAGUCAAAGGGGCUCGUCUAGAUGUGACAGAUGAGGUACCAGGCCUCUCUCAGAAGUUGUGUGCCUCUGGAACUGUGAAGCUGGGGCGAAUUGUCAGUGUGGCUGGUCCUGAUUUAAGUGAUGUUACAGCAGUAGCCCUGAUGCUGGGGCAAAGGUCAAUUCGCCACACAGGAACAAUAGUAGAAAAGUGGAGGAAGAAGCUCACGGAUGUGGAAAUCGCACUACUUAAGGACUUUGGGAAGGGGUUGGAGGUUCCCGAUAAAAAAGAUCCUGUUCCGAAAUUUAAAAUUACUCCGGACUUGAAGGAUAUGUCAGGUCCUUUGCUUGACCUUCAUGGGCUGAAAGACUUGGAUCUGGAUAUAGUAGAGGGCAAAGUUUUCUAUCAGUGUUGUGUAAAAGUUUUUAAUAGAGUUUCUUUAAAUGGGAGAGUUGAUACAGUCUGGAAGGAAAAGCUUGGGAUGGGUGAAAAAGCUAAACCUUUUUGGAGAGUGUUUUACAAACCACCAUUGAUUAAGAAAUCUGGAGAUUUACAAUGGAGAAUUUUACACUGUUCUGUUGCAGUUAAUGCAUUUAUUUCUGUUAUUAAUCCAAGUUUUAAUGAUAAGUGUGUGUUUUGUGGUUUAAGGGAAACAGUGUUUCAUUGUUUUUUAGAAUGUGUAAGACUUAAAUCACUUUUUGUUUUAUUG
ensembl:lncRNA